rnacentral:lncRNA from 1 species
UUGAAAUUAUUCAGAUUGUGGACCAAUUUUAAAGAACAAGUGCGAUAAAUUGCAGUAAGUACUGUCGAUUGUUUCAGAGUCUAAGUAGGGGUUUUUCUUUUUUAAUAAAUUAUAAAUCAUAUACAAAACUUCUUGAGCAGUUCCCUAGAUCAAAGAUGGUUACCCUUCUGCGACAUGGAGAGUGGAGGUCAGUGUUUCUUCCGUUAAGGUUCAUGUUUAUUCAGAACCUUAUGGGUUAUGUCCCUACCUCCUCUAUUCAGUAAGUGCUAUAUGAUACAAUAGUUUCAAUAACUCUGUAGCUGCAUAAUUUUUUUUAUAAUUGCUUGAUUAUACUAAUUUUUGUGAUGAUUUUUCAAUGUUAAACAGUAAUUUAGUCUUUCGUUAGGGUUAGGUUUAGAGGUUGUAUAAGCAUAUGUAUUUUACAUUAGUAUCUCAAUCAAUACAAUGUAGUUGUUGAUGUUAUCACUUAUCACUCAGGAGUCAGGAUGUAUUCAGGAACUUAGUGAAGAAUUGUAGCACUUCUUCAUCACCAGCCAAGUUUUAAACAAAGCUUUAGUAGUCGAGGUAUGGCUUGUUUGUGGGAAUAGCACUGUAUUAUACCUUACGACAAUUUGUAUGGGUACUUUGUAAUCUUUCAGAACAAAUAGAAAGAGUA